GCCUUAUAUAAAGAAUAAAGUUACCAAAUUAUGCUGUUAUGUUCUGAAACUCAAAUCACUAUUUGAGAAACCCUCAAAUUGGUGCUUUCAUUAUUUAAUGAUGCAUUUAGACAAAACCACAAACAAGCCAUUUGAAACAAGAUUCUCUCCGUUGCCAUCUGUAGCAAUGUUAUUUCUAUAUAUGUAAUGAGAAGGCUAAAUAGCAGUGUUAACUCUUAAUUUCUUGUUUGAAUCCAUGGAAUCAUGCCUAUAAGACCAAGCCAAACGUUUGUAACAAACUCCCUAAUAAAGCUAGAGAAGUUACCCUUUCAUUUCUUUUAGUUUUAUUUGAGGAAUCAAGAACAAGUUUUGCACAUGCCUUUUCAUUUGGAAACCUUAACAGUACUGGUUACUUUGGUCUUUUUCCCAUCGAUUCAGCAUGUGAUAUAAUAACAGAUGAUACCUUUGUGUUGUGCUGCUUGACUAAAAAUACUGUUUUUUUCUUACCUCCUGACCUCCCUCCUUUCCUUCUUUCUUUCCUUUAAUGCUAGGAUACCAGUUGGCCUUUCAGUCUAGAAUUUAGUAAACAUGAAGAGGGGAGAGAUUACAAGUGGGUGUGUAUGUGUCUCCGUGUUCCAAGUAAAGCAGAUGAUUCAGCAUACACCCCUUAUUUUAGGGUACGAGUUUAGGGCUUAAUAAAUUUAUACUAAACCUGAAUGUUUUACAUCAAUUGUUCUUUGGUUUUUUCAAUACCAUCAAGUAGAUAACAGCCUCGGGUUGGUAGGUGGUUAUUAACAUCAUUUGAAGUACAGUAUUUGAACCACUUACAUUAGUAUGUCUAUCAUGAUUGUAUAGUUAGUACUUAAUAUGUUCAUCAUUCAGGUAUAACUAUAUGGUUUCAACUACCAGAACUUACACAGAACGUUGUUAUUUUUUUCAAGGCAUUAAUGCUAUGGCAAUAUUUUCCGAGUUGAUAAUUGGGGUCUAUACAAAUCUUCUGUUAAUGAUGGAUUUAUACAAUGAAUUGGAGUCUGGGACCCAUACAUAAUAGCAUAAAUUUUCAUUCAGUGAAUGUCGUUGAUAGUAAUAAACUACUUGGUAUGUGAUGUUAGUUUGUAUUUUAAAAGCUUGUUUAUAAUAUUCUUACCAUACUAAGUGAUGAUUUGUCCUUGGUCUAUGACUGAUGACACCAGGAAUAAAAGGGAGAGGGAAGGGAUUAAUCUUUGUUAUGUUUAUUUAACAAUGCAACAAACUAUGCCAUUUACCCUUUCUUUACCCCUUACUUGAAAGCAGAC
rnacentral:lncRNA from 1 species